rnacentral:rRNA from 1 species
GAUGAACGCUGGCGGCGUGCCUAAUACAUGCAAGUCGAGCGAACGGACGAGAAGCUUGCUUCUCUGGUGUUAGCGGCGGACGGGUGAGUAACACGUGGAUAACCUACCUAUAAGACUGGGAUAACUUCGGGAAACCGUAGCUAAUACCGGAUAAUAUUUUGAACCGCAUGGUUCAAAAGUGAAAGACGGUCUUGCUGUCACUUAUAGAUGGAUCCGCGCUGCAUUAGCUAGUUGGUAAGGUAACGGCUUACCAAGGCAACGAUGCAUAGCCGACCUGAGAGGGGGAUCGGCCAACCUGGAAAUGAAACACGGCCCAACCCCUCACGGGGGGACGGAGGGGGGAAUUUUCGGAAAGGGGCGAAAGCCGAACGGAGAAACGCCGGGGGAGUUAAGAAGGUUUUGGGAUGGUAAAACCUUUUUUUUGGGGAAAAAAAAAUGUGUAAGUAACGGUGCACAUUUGGACGGUCCCAAAUCAGAAAGCCCGGGCAAACUCCGG